rnacentral:tRNA from 1 species
GGGAAUGUGAUUCAGUGGUAGAAUACUUGACUGGCAUGCUUGAGGCCCUGGGUUCCAUCCCCAGCUUUGCAA